CGGAGCGGCGGGAUGCGGCGCUGGCGGGGCGCGGGGCUGGCGGCGCUGGCCGCGGUGCUGCUCGUGGCUGCAGGCAGAGCCCAGGUGCAACAGGAGCCGUUGGCACAAACCCCCGAGGGCACGGAAAUCACCAUCAACUGCUCACACCCGACCAUACGGACCAAUGACUAUAUCCACUGGUACCGUCAGCUUCGGGGCCGCGGCCCCGAAUUCCUCGUGAGCAUUCACAAAGGCUCCAAAGAGCUGCCGGACAAGGCGGGUCAGGUGUCGGUGUCGCCAGACCGUCGCUGGAGCACCCUCUGUCUCUCCGGGCCCCGUGUUGGGGACGCGGCGGUGUAUUACUGCGCCGUGGCAGACACGGCCAGAGGAGCCGGGGCUGCGGCCGGGCACGAACCGCCGCGGGCGGGGCCGG